GAACGCACCUUGCGCUCCUUGGUAUUCCGAGGAGCAUGUCUGUUUGAGUGUCAUGAACUCUUCAACCCUCCAUUUCCUCGUUUGAAAUGUUUUGAGGUGAUUGGAUUUUGAGUACUUGCUCUUUUAUCAAAAUUAGCUUACUCGUAAUACAUUAGCACAAUUCAACUUCGAACUCGGAUUGACUCGGCGUAAUAGACUAUUCGCUGAGGACAUUGAGAAUUAAUUUUCUCUAAUGGCCGACUUUAGACGAUUUGAAUAGCUUCAAAUACUAUAAACCUUUUUUAAGAUUAGACCUCAAAUCAGGCAGGAUUACCCGCUGAACUUAAG
rnacentral:misc_RNA from 1 species